UCCUCCCCUGCCUCCAGCCCUGCGCCCUGCUUGCCUCCCCUCGGUUGCCCUGCACCCAUAUUUUCCAUAAGCCCCCUCCCUCGGCUCCCCUCCAUUCCCUUGCCGCCCUCCCCCUCCGCGCAGGGGCUGUUCGUGGGUUCGUGGUGUCUCUCUCUCUCUCUUUCUCCCUCUCUUUCUCUCUCUCUCUCUCUCUCUCUCUCUCUCUCUCUCUCUCUCUCUCUCUCUCUCUCUCUCUCUCUCUCUCUCUCUCUCUCGUUUAUCUGGAACGGUUGAAUAGAGUGCUCGGGCUCUCGCUCUCACUUAAGGGGCGAGCACGACGCCCUCGCCAACAGCUUCCCUUCUCUGCACCCCAGUCCCGCCGGCUCCAGACUUCCCGCUGAGAUCCGCUAUGCCGGCGGGCAGUGAGGCUGGGGGCGACCUGGGGGCUCCCCUCGCCCAUCAGAACAGAUGUCGGCGGGUUUUAGAGUGGCCCCGACCGCAGGCACGUCCGGGCGGCUCUUCUGCGGACGAGACUUGCACCUCGGGCGGCUCCCGCACCCGCGAGGCUGAGCCCCCGACGCUGCAGCUUUGGGGAAGCGCGACCGCCGAGGUCCAGCUGGCCGGGCGGGCAGAGUCGCCCCUCGGAGGAUGCUCUUGGGACUUGGGAGAGGCAGGAGGGAAGAGAAGCGCCCGGCGAAGGGGCCGUCGAUUUUUUAUUUCUGUGCUUUAAUGGAGGCCAUCAGUGAGUUCUCAGAACACAGGGCUGGCGAAGGCAGGGCGCACAGCGCUGGGAGAAAACGCAGGGGUCAAAGCUACGGCCAACCGCGUUGUGUCCAGGUAUCCUAGGUGCGGCCACUUUUUGUAAUAGCAGGACACAAAAUAGCCUCCAGGGGUGGGAGAUAUGUUCACCGUGUUUACCUGUUGACAAGAGGGAAAUGCAAAAAAAUAACAUAACGUGGCAUCGUUUGCAAAGGUAGCUCUUGCAUUAGACAAAACAAUUUUACAUUCCCGCAAAACCCAUCUGAACCUUUGGAACUUUUAUUUGCGGCAUUUUGGCGCCCUCUGGCUGUGUUUGGAUUAUUUUCCUGUUCGCCUGCGUUUCAGCAAAGGAAAAUGAUCAACUUGCCAGGUGUCCUACAAGUUGGAUGCCCUCUUGACCUGGGCAUUAAUUCGGGACAAGCUUGGCCUCCAGAAUCAGAGUGACAAAAUGUCACCACGUUUAGAUGGGCAGACACCAAAGGUUUGACGAAAAUGAGAAGCAGACCUUCUAGGCUGACACUAUGAUUCUACAAGUGGAGGCGUCUCUGCAAUGUAGAGAACCUGCGAGAAGCUGUUGGCAUUUUGGAAAACUGUGGUUAGAGUGGAAUUAGUUCUUCUGCACGUUAGGUAUUUAAAAACAGCCGUUUGUUCGCCUAUGUGUUUUCAAAAGAAACUUGUUCCUAAAAAUUUUUUUCCCAGUA